AGACACUCAAGAUGAAUGCCACCAAAAUGUGCAGGUAUUGGUGUGUAUUGAUGUUCUGCUAGGUGCCGAGGGCACAUCUCCAGGUGAGCUCCAGGCGGGAUUCUGAGGAUUGGUAAAUGGAGGAAAUAUCAUGGUCGCUCUCUGCAACUUUAUACUUACCAGCGGGCUGGCUGGACGCAUAGGUCUCCACUCAGAGGAGGGCAGCUCAGACUCCAGCCAAAGUCAACAUCUUAGCUGGUCACUGUGACUGCCUGUCACCCCGCGCGUCUACAGCCUGCAGUGCCCACCUCCGCUCCUGUGUUCUCCGCAUUGACCCCGCCACUCACUGAGCAGAACUCCAGGGGAGGCUCAGACACAAAGUCAUCCCAGAGCCCGUUUAUUUUUUAGUUGAAAAUAACAGAGCCCUUUCCGGGGAGCUGCCUGCACAGAAUGUGCUUGCUAAGAAGCUUUUCUGAAUAAAUGCACCUGGAGUGGAUUUUGAUGGCCACUCAGCAGAAAUAGAUGUAGUUUGCUGAGGCUACGGACAUCUAGAUUGAGAAGAGAAUCCAUGAGUGACAAUGUGUAGCUUUCAGAACAUUCAGCUCAAAAAUAUACCAGUUGGGUAUAAGGAGGUUAAAAACUAUGAACCCAAACUUUGCGCUAUGAAAGCACCCUUGGUGUUUCCUCCACACACAGGAGUGAACAGAGAGCCAAACUGUUCAGCUCUUGAACGUUUAAAGGAACCUGGAUCAAUAUAUGAAGAGAGAAAGAAAAACCUCUCACUGAACAACUACUAGUUCUAUAAACCCAACAAGAUGUCGGUUAUGAAAUGUACCAUUUGCACAGGGACUCUCCUCGUUUUUCUGCAGCCACCCAGUCCUCUGGAAGGACAGCGAUUAUUAAAAGUCACAGGUAGUACAAGCAGAUUUACAUGAAUUUAAAUGAAAUCCAAAUACCAAUUUAUGUCUGGCCGUGUUUUGUCAAAUUUCAACACAUAUCUGUAACAAAAUAAGGCACAUGAGUUUUGAGUGAAUACGAUUUUAGCAAGAAAGGCAUGAAUUCCAAUAUAAACAUUUAAAAUAUUAAUAAAACAUCUUGGAUGUUGAGGAAUUCUUACCACAGUCAAGUUUUCUUUGGAGCGAAGGACCAGCUGGAUUCCUGUCUCCCUGGCUGCUGCGUUGGCCUGCGACAUGCAGCAGAAGACGGGACCCAGGGGUGGGACUGGUAUAACCACCAGCUUCGUGUCUCCUGCUUUCUCACUCUGACUCCCGUGCAUCCAUUUCCCACAAACCUCCAACCGUGCGGUCUCAGAACAGAGGCCUCUGUCUUUGUGAAGCCUGCCUAGGCCUCCCCAAGCAUCCAGGCUCUCGCUACCUGAGACAAUGUCUGCAAAUCGCUACCGCCUUGCUGGAGACACAGGGUGUCACCCACACGUUUGGCCAGGGUGGGAGGUGGGGCACGUGGUAGCUUUGCUAAAGCUUCCAGGUCAACUCAUACCCCAAGCCGUUCUACUCAGCUCCUGGCAGGACUGCUUUUCUUUCUCCAUGACUGAGUGCCACUCAUACAAGGCUAGGGGAGGCCCCAGACCUGGACCAUCCAGCUUCCCCCAGGCUCUCCACAGCCACAUGCAGGCGGUGCUAAGGGCUGCCAGGCUGCGGCCACGGAGAAGCAGCCCUCUGACUUGGGGAACCUGCCAAAGCAGACACACCAUGGUGGUUCCACCUGGAUCAAAGCUCAAGGAUGCCCACACUUCGGGGGAAGCAGCGGGCCCUGAACGGCGGGAGCCGCCCUCCUUCCCGCUGGACCCUGGGUGGGGGUGUAGAGAUCCUGGCGUGCUGUUCUGAAAGCAGGCCUCAAACAUCACAUUUAAACGGCAGAAUUUUAUCUGCCAGGUGCCCUGCGAGGGAGUGUGAUCUUCCACGGCAGCGCGGACGCCCACGUCAUGACCCCACGGCCGGCCCUGGGGAGGCUGGCCUUCCGGGCAUCCCACCCUCAGCACAAGCUCCUCCCAGUUGCCUUUCUUGGGACUCCCAGUAACACAAA